rnacentral:snRNA from 1 species
AGCUUUGCGCAGUGGCAAUAUCAUAGCCAAUGAGAUUUAUCCGAGGCGCGAUUAUUGCUAAUUGAAAACUUUUCCCAAUACCCCGCCAUGACGACUUGCAAUACAGUCGGCCCUGGCAAUUUUUGACAGUCUCUACGGAGA